UAACAUUUUAAAGCAAUGGAAACAUAUAUGAUGAAAAUGACAAGUUAUGACCAAAAUAUAUAAUAAUAUAUCAUAAUAACAUAAUAAUAAAUAUUUAAGAUCCUGCUUUUAGUGAGUCUAAAAAGACUUAAAAAUUAGGCAACAAGCUUUAAAAAACAUUUAUUUAUUUUAUUUAUUUUUUUAUUUUAUUUAUUUCACUUUUAAAUUUUUAAAAACUUAAAACAAAAUUAGGCAACAUUUUUAAUUUAGUGUUAAUUUUUUAACUUACUAAACAUGAUCUAUUUUCUAUUAUAAUUUAUUUCAGUUGCCAAAAAUUAUUUUAAUAGUUUUACUUUUAAUCAACAAUCGCAAAACUGGUAGAUAAAAUCCAUGAAAAUGUAUAUAGUAAAGGUUAGUAAUUAUGCUUAGCAAAUACAUGAUAUCAUAAUAAUAUAAUAUUUAAUAUUACAGAAUCUGCUCUUAGUGAGUGCAGUCUCUAUAAAAUAAUAAUGUGUAGGAACCACAUGGAAAUGCAUUGGUCAAACGAUAUGGGAACCCUGCAUUUACUGUUAAUACAGUAUAUUUUAAACACACUUAUGCAUGCAACACUUAAAUAUGUCUCAUUUUCAUUUCACUAAAACAAAAUGCCACAAAUCACCUGAUUUGGUGACUUCGUGUGGUGUGGAGCUGAAUAUGAGUCACGUUCCACAGAGUCUGGAUGAUCUGGAGUUAUGGAGGUAACGUGUGUGUGUGUGUGUGUGUGUGUGUGUGUACGCUGAGGGCAGAUAUUGGGUUUACUCUCCGGUGCUCCAGCGGAGGAAGCUCAGCUCCUGCAGUGUCACUCCAGAGGACAGGAGUUGGGUUUAUUCGCCCCUGCAUUACGGCUCAGAGCCUCACAGUGAAAGCGACACAGUAAGUUUGGGCUUCCAAACCAAAGCCCUUCCUGAAACAGAGCCCUGGCUGUUCAGAAACCCUCCCAUUCAAGAGCUACACCUCUGCUCAUCACUUCAUUGAUCCUCAUCAUUCAUUCAUUCAUCUAUUCAUCAAGUCCAUAAAUUAGUAGAAAGUCUCAAAGGAAUAGUUCCCUCAAAAAUGAAAGCUGUCAUUAUUUACUUACUUAAUUUAUUAUUAUAGUAUUAGUAUAUUUAUUUACAUACUUAAUGAUUAAAAAAAAUACAGUAUCACAUUUUUAACCCUAAUACUUAUUUUAG
ensembl:lncRNA